CAAGGCGACCCGCUGAA
rnacentral:rRNA from 2 species